CGGCCCGUGGCGGAACAAGGCAGACGCACGCGCCCCAGGAGCGCGCGGGGGCAGCCCCCAUGUGGGUUCGAGUCCCACCGGGCCGACCA
rnacentral:tRNA from 1 species